AUUGAACGCUGGCGGCAUGCUUUACACAUGCAAGUCGAACGGCAGCGCGGGCUUCGGCCUGGCGGCGAGUGGCGAACGGGUGAGUAAUAUAUCGGAACGUACCCAGAAGUGGGGGAUAACGUAGCGAAAGUUACGCUAAUACCGCAUACGAUCUAAGGAUGAAAGUGGGGGACCUUCGGGCCUCAUGCUUUUGGAGCGGCCGAUAUCUGAUUAGCUGGUUGGUGAGGUAAAGGCUCACCAAGGCGACGAUCAGUAGCUGGUCUGGGAGGACGACCAGCCACACUGGGACUGAGACACGGCCCAGACUCCGCCGGGAGGCAGCAGUGGGGAAUUUUGGACAAUGGGGGCAACCCUGAUCCAGCAAUGCCGGGUGAGUGAAGAAGGCCUUCGGGUUGUAAAGCUCUUUUGUCAGGGAAGAAACGGUUCUAGCUAAUAUCUGGAGCUAAUGACGGUACCUGAAGAAUAAGCACCGGCUAACUACGUGCCAGCCGCCGCCGUAAUAC
rnacentral:rRNA from 1 species